CUUCUUUAUAGGUAUGACCCCCGCUGUAAACAGUGGAUCAAGGUGAGAUUCAAGCCAGAUUAUUUCUUUUCUCUUGAGGACUCUCGGUUUCCUUAACCUAGCCUUGACUUUCCUUACCUCUCUGGGGUCUUGACGACUAUCCUGCUUCUGAACGAGGUGUGACAAUAAAGUGACGAGCAGCACACCCCAGGCCUACGCCCUGGACAGGGAGAGGGAGAGCCGACCCACCCCUUCGAGGGGUCCGUCAUCGUUCAGAGCAGCGCUGCCUGGCGGGGCUUUCUGUGCAGGUGGAAGGGUCUGUCUGUACUUCCCAAUACGGUAGCCACAGCCACAUGUGGUGACUGAGCACUUGAAAUGUGGCCAGUGCGACUGAAGAAGUCAGUUUUCACUUUUAUUUCACUUUAACCGAUUGAUGUGGAAGUGUAUGUGGCCACACGGGGCGUGGCUACCCUAUUGGACAGUAGCAUGGAUCUAGAUGUUUGAUCCGUGGUUCAAUGUCCCCAGGUCCUGGAGUCUCUGUGGGGCUCCUCUGGAAGCAUUUUGGGAGAUAGUCUAAGGAGGCCACUAGUGCUCAUACCUGGCCCCUUGGGCAUGUAUUGUGGCCUGAUUCUGGGAAGAGCGUGGGCCUUGAUGUCAGACCUGGGGUCUCAUCCCAGCCUGGCUAAGUCAUAGCUAGGAAAUUUCAGAUUCUUGUCCUCUCCACAUUUUGGAUUCCCCUUCUGGGAAUACAUGAGGGACAGGGAGUGCAGUAGCUCAUGUUGAUUGGCAAGCCCCUGACAUAGGAAAGGUGUCUCCUUUCUGCUGGGAGCGCUCUCCAGCCACUCGCUCCCUGGGACAGUCCGUCUCAGCCUUUAUACUCACACCUCAGCAUCGCGCCCAACUCAGUGCUGUUCUCAGCUCAAAACUCAGUCAGAAUGGACUCCAGCUGACCUUUUGAUUUUACUCUCAGAAAUCUGAGACUGCCCUCCAAGGUCAAAGUCUUACCACUGGAAAGGGUCCCUGGCUUUGGAGCCUCCUCCCUGAAGCCUGGUAGCAGUGGCAGCCUGAACCUCGCCUCCUGCAGGAACUUGCUCUUGCUCCCUGUGUGUUUGGCUUGGAUUCCUUUAAAAAAAGAAAAAAAAAAAAAAGUUGGCUCUUCUACUUUUUUUUUGGAGACAGAGUUGUUCUGUCACCCAAGCUGGAGUGCAGUGGCAUGAUCUCGGCUAAUUGCAACCUCCGCCUCCCAGGUUCAAACAAUUCUGGUGCCUUAACCUACCGAGUAGCUGGAAUUACAGGCAUCCGCCACCACGCCCAGCUAAUUUUUGUAUUUUUAGUAGAGACGGGGUUUCACCAUGUUGGCCAGGCUGGUCUUGAACUCCGUGACCUCAGGUAAUCCACCCACCUUGGCCUCCCAAAGUGCCAGGAUUACAGGUGUGAGCCACCGCGCCUGGCCUCUUCUGUUUAAUUUCCUGUCGAAUGCCACAUCCUGCUCUGUUAACACGGAGUGGCAGAGCAGCACUAACUUUACAAAUCUGAUGCGGGGAGAGGAAAGAUGAAUUUUUAUUUCAUAAAGCCACUAGAUCAGUGACUCUGACCCCUGUGACCCACAGAGUUCCAUCCAAGCAGCUGACCACAUGACCAGACAAGUUCGGGGGUUCAGAGCAUCUCCAUCCCCCUUUUGGGGACUCAGAGCGUCUCCAUCCCACUUUUGGGGAUUCAGAGCAUCUUGGUGAAACCUCAGGGGCUCAGAGCUCCCGCCUGAAGAAGCCCUCUUUAUUCAGGUGGCCUCCAUGAACCAGCGCCGUGUGGAUUUCUACCUUGCCUCCAUCGAAGACAUGCUGGUGGCCGUCGGCGGCCGGAAUGAGAACGGAGCGCUCUCUUCGGUAGAGACGUACAGUCCCAAGACUGACUCCUGGUCCUAUGUGGCCGGCUUGCCAAGGUUCACGUAUGGCCACGCGGGCACCAUCUACAAAGACUUCGUGUACAUCUCGGGGGGCCACGACUACCAAAUCGGCCCCUACCGCAAGAACCUGCUAUGCUACGACCACCGGACAGACGUGUGGGAGGAGCGGCGGCCCAUGACUACGGCGCGCGGCUGGCACAGCAUGUGCAGCCUGGGUGACAGCAUCUACUCCAUCGGGGGCAGCGAUGACAACAUCGAGUCCAUGGAGCGCUUCGACGUGCUGGGCGUGGAGGCCUACAGCCCGCAGUGCAACCAGUGGACCCGCGUGGCGCCGCUGCUGCACGCCAACAGCGAGUCGGGUGUGGCAGUGUGGGAGGGCCGCAUCUACAUCCUGGGCGGCUACAGCUGGGAGAACACUGCCUUCUCCAAGACCGUGCAGGUGUACGACCGCGAGGCCGACAAGUGGAGCAGGGGUGUCGACCUGCCCAAGGCCAUCGCUGGCGGGUCCGCUUGUGUCUGCGCCCUGGAGCCGCGGCCAGAGGACAAGAAGAAGAAAGGCAAAGGCAAGAGGCACCAGGACCGGGGCCAGUGACCCCAGCUGCGCCUCCUGGGACCAUCCUCACCGUCACCUUCCAGGGCUCUGUAGACCAGCAGCAACUUCUUAGUAUUCUGGAAACAUUAUGUACAACUUAGCAGCUUUUUUUACUUUUAUGAUUCUUGGUAUUUCUAUGAUAUCACAGUAACCAAUUAAAUACUAUCUGUAACUUU
rnacentral:sRNA from 1 species